rnacentral:rRNA from 1 species
UACGAAGGGGGCUAGCGUUGCUCGGAAUUACUGGGCGUAAAGGGCGCGUAGGCGGACAGUUUAGUCAGAGGUGAAAGCCCAGGGCUCAACCUUGGAAUUGCCUUUGAUACUGGCUGUCUUGAGUUCGGGAGAGGUGAGUGGAAUGCCGAGUGUAGAGGUGAAAUUCGUAGAUAUUCGGCGGAACACCAGUGGCGAAGGCGACACGCUGGGCCGUACCUGACACUGAUGCGCGACAGCAUGGGGAGCAAACAGG